rnacentral:rRNA from 1 species
CACGUAGGGCGCAAGCGUUGUCCGGAAUUAUUGGGCGUAAAGAGCUCGUAGGCGGUUUGUCGCGUCUGCCGUGAAAGUCCGGGGCUCAACUCCGGAUCUGCGGUGGGUACGGGCAGACUAGAGUGCGGUAGGGGAGAUUGGAAUUCCUGGUGUAGCGGUGGAAUGCGCAGAUAUCAGGAGGAACACCGAUGGCGAAGGCAGAUCUCUGGGCCGUAACUGACGCUGAGGCACGAAAGCGUGGGGAGCAAACAGG